ACAACACCCCUGUCUUGUGGAGUUUUCAAAGCUGCCUGAAACUGAGAAGAAUUAUAACCUACAAAUGUCAACUGAAACCUUAAAAACCCUCCUGGCCCUGGGGUGCCACAUUGCUCAUGUGAAUCCAGCUGCUGAGGAGGAUCUCAAGAAGGUCAAAUUGCCCAAAAACUAUAUGAUGUCCAAUGGCUACAAGCCAGCCCCUUUGGAUCUGUCUGAUGUGAAGCUGUUACCUCCUCAAGAAAUUUUAGUGGAUAAGCUUGCAGAAAAUGCACAUAACGUUUGGGCCAAAGACAGAAUAAAACAAGGAUGGACCUAUGGCAUCC